rnacentral:rRNA from 1 species
ANCAUGCAAGUCGAGCGGGAAGCUUUUUAAGGAUUCUUCGGAUGAAUUAAAAAGUGGAGAGCGGCGGACGGGUGAGUAACGCGUGAGAAACCUGCCCUAUACAGGGGGAUAGCCAUUGGAAACGAUGAUUAAUACCCCAUAUGACCACAGUAUCGCAUGAUACAGCGGUGAAAACUCCGGUGGUAUAGGAUGGUCUCGCGUCUGAUUAGCUAGUUGGUGGGGUAACGGCCUACCAAGGCGACGAUCAGUAGCCGGCCUGAGAGGGUGACCGGCCACACUGGAACUGAGACACGGUCCAGACUCCUACGGGAGGCAGCAGUGGGGAAUAUUGCACAAUGGGCGAAAGCCUGAUGCAGCGACGCCGCGUGAACGAUGAAGGCUUUCGAGUCGUAAAGUUCUGUUCUUGGGGAAGAUAACGACGGUACCCAAGGAGAAAGCACCGGCUAAAUACGUGCCAGCAGCCGCGGUAAUACGUAUGGUGCAAGCGUUGUCCGGAAUUACUGGGCGUAAAGAGUUCGUAGGCGGUUAGAUUAGUC